UACGGAGGGUGCGAGCGUUGUCCGGAAUCACUGGGCGUAAAGGGCGCGUAGGCGGCAUGCCAAGCGUGUGGUGAAAGCCCGGGGCUCAACCCCGGGUCGGCCGUGCGGACUGGCGUGCUCGAGCACUGUAGGGGCGGGUGGAAUUCCGGGUGGUAGCGGUGGAAUGCGUAGGAGAAUCCGGAAGAACACCGGUGGCGAAGGCGGCCCGACUGGGCAGGA
rnacentral:rRNA from 1 species